UUACUCUCACACUCUCUGAUCCAUUUGGAUUUUGGAGAGCGGUGGACUUGGGUGUUGCUGCUUGGUUGUGGCUCACCUUAAAUGCAUGAGUGCACCUCUCAGUUGGACAUAGUACGGCGUGAUAAGUGUCUUCGCCGGCGCCUCACAUGAGGGUGGCUAAUUGGGAGCUCUGUGCUUUCGAACUGUCUUUUGACACUAUCUGACAA
rnacentral:misc_RNA from 1 species